GACGUCAAACCUGCUACUCACAAUUUUACAUUUCGUCGCAAGCCGUCUCUUCUAAUUCUUCUAAUCGUUUCAAUUUUCUUCAUGUUCUUUCGUUUCUCCACUCUCGAUCAUUCAUUCCUCUUCUUUAAUCUUAUAUGCGUGAGCCAUAAUACCCUUCCAACUUCCUCUCUUUCUCCCACUACAAGAAGUCGGAGUCAACUCGGAAGCUCUUCAGCCGCCGGAAGAUAGCUUAUAGCUCUCGGACUCACCGAUUUAGACGACGAGCUUCUCUACCACCAACAAGCCUCUGCGUUUAUACCGUCAUCUACUCCACCUUGGCCACUCCGGAUUUGUUGCGCAUCUUUCUUCACGAGAACCAAGCUCUCUCUCUCUCUCUCUCUCUCUCUCUCUCUCUGAUUUUCGUUUGAUUUGGUACAGGAAGGGGGAUCGUGAGCAGAGUUGGUUGUCAUGAGCUUGAAGACAGAGGAGGUAUGGCGUGGUGGUGGUGCUAGCAGCCUCUGCUCACCGGAGAGUGAAUGAAAACAAAGGAUGUAUGGCGUGAUGCGGUGGAUGAAGAUGACGAUGUUAUGCGGCUGAUGAUUAUUCAACUCAGAUUUAGAUUUAGGUUUUUUUGGUUUGGUUUAGUGUUUUUUUACUUGGUUUAGAUUUGGAUAUAUACUUCCAUUUGAUCUAUUUCUAGGAGGCUGGACACAGUGCGAAAGGUGGAGCUCUUAUUGGCUUAGAGCUGCUCAUCAUGGAUGAACAGCUCUGUUCUAUCCGGUGUAGACCACAUGUGCCACCUAUGUAUGAUGACCAGUUCAGGUUCCACGUUCAUGAGGAUUUUGUCAGGGGAGACCUCUAUGGUGUGAGAUGUGGUUGGCCUCAUGAAGCUACUGAAUGGACAAUUGUUCAUUCACCAUCCGGUCCUUGACUACGUGGAAAUAGCGAACACAAGGCCUGUUCUGUUUCACUUACAAACUAAAUAGACCUGUUAUGAAGCUGUAUCUCUGGGACCAGGCAGCAACAGUGUUCUACAAAUUCACGGCCAGUGCCGACACUUCCGUCAUCCUUUUAGUGAUGACACUGAAUCGAAAACGUAUUCGUGGGACCCUUGCCCUCAGCUCAAUCUCAUCAUCACAUGAUUUCAUCGACAAAGAUUCCAACCCACAAUCAACUACUUCAAUUGUCAGGUUGAAUUCUAAUCCAGAGUUUGCUAAGAAAGUUAAUGCAUAGGAGGUGACUAAGGCUGAGACAACAACAAUUGGAAAAAUCUUUGCUUAUAUCAAGCAAGGAUUAGCCAAGGCCGUGAGCUAACUGGAAAGCAUCCCUCUGAAUUGGUUGAUAAGUACUUUGAGGCUAAUGGUGAUCUUGUUACUAACCAUGAAUGCCUGUCCUACAAACUUUGAUCGACGCCAUUGGUCAAACACAUAGGUUCAAGGUGUAAGUUUCUGAAUACAACUUAGAAGGGAGGACUCAGGCUAUAACAGUUAUGAAGGUUGUCUCUCCUUCAGUCCUGCAACCUUUAACAUCCCCGGUUGGAAUCCCACUUGCCACCACUUCCGAAAUGCCUCUAUUUUCUGCAAGUGAUUAGGGUGCGUGACGUGCGUCCUCCAAAGACUGGAGACCUAGCUGUUGAAGAAAACGCCAGUACAAGUAACUGUGACAAAGCACAGAGGAAAACGUGCUAAAUUUGAGUAAUAGAGCAUUAACCACUCAUUUUAUAGAUUGCACUAAGGCCAUCUUCGAAGGGGGAGCACAUGGGGUGUGCUUGGGCUUAAUAUAUUUGGAUUUAAUCCAAAAGUGGGCUAAGAGCAGUUUGGGAAGGCUUGUCGAAGAGCUGUGCUUAAGGGAAGUGCUGGUCGACGUGGCAAGUGUGUAUUAGUCGAAAAAAUGAAAGGGAACACGGGUUUUUCUUUUUCCCAUUUCCUAGGGUUUGCGAUCUAUCUCUCUGUCUCUCGAAUCCACAAACGGCGAUGAACGGGAGAAGCCAGUUCCGUUCGAUUUCCGACCGAAGCACACCGUGAAUCGAUCUUUUA